CCUACGGGAGGCAGCAGUGGGGAAUAUUGCACAAUGGGGGAAACCCUGAUGCAGCCAUGCCGCGUGUGUGAAGAAGGCCUUCGGGUUGUAAAGCACUUUCAGUAGGGAGGAAAGGGUGAGUCUUAAUACGGCUCAUCUGUGACGUUACCUACAGAAGAAGGACCGGUUAACUCCGUGCCAGCAGCCGCGGUAAU
rnacentral:rRNA from 1 species